CGCUCGCUCACAUGUUAUGUACUAUAUCCGAAGUGUCAAUCAAAUUGUACAUUUCCUUAAUAAUAUUAACACUACUGAUCUAUAAAUGUAACUGUAUAAACGUUCACGACACACUCCCCCUAUUUUAAAUAAUCCUUAUUACACUGACCUGAAAGGUCAAGUGUCUUAAAUCCCUAGUUUUCUGUUUUCUUCUGUUUUUUUCGUCGUCGAGAAAUCGAGUUUGCGUUCGCGCAUCGCAGGCUCACUCAGGGUGCAACGAUUAAUCCAAAAUGCCAUCGAUUCUUCGACUCCACGAUUCAUAUAUAAUAGUAAGAAGCUU